UCCUAUCAAACGAAGCAAUUAAAUCAGCAAAGUUGAAACUAUACUUCAUAACAAGGCACCUGGAGUAUAAAGAUAAAUCCAGAGACUUUUUUCAACAAAGGAAAGAAGAAUAAAACUCAAAUGACAAACAUAACAUUGGUUCUGGAAAAGGCUCUGAAAGCAUCUUUCUUAACAGUACUUUGGAUUGUAAAGAAUAAAAAAUCCCAUACCACUGGAGAAGAACUGAUUCUGCCCGCUGCUUUCAAAAAGUGUGAUGCGCUGCUUCAGCUGUAUGGCCCAGGGAGAGUGUCUCUUUUCUAAGAGGAUCCCAGGGCCCUGGGCUAGAACCUGGAGUAGACACAGGAGGCGCUGACUCAGAUUGUGGGGAAGAUCACUGAGGAGAGCAAAUCUGCCAAUAAGCGCAGGACCCACCAAGGUAGAGAAGGAACUUUGUCAUAGUACAUAACACUAACACUUGUGGCAAUUAAAAGAACCUGAUCAUAUAAAGAUUAUAGUCAUAUGGAGGCCCAUACUUCAAUCACAAAGGAGUCUUGCAUUCUUCUGCAUGUGAAAACUACACCCAAUGCAUGCCCCUUUAUUCCCAUUCUUGAUAUCUCUGGCAUAAUAAAUCACGCUUGCUCUAUACUCUCCCUUCUUUGAA